UUCCGUAGGUGAACUGCGGAAGGAUCAUUA
rnacentral:rRNA from 3 species